rnacentral:rRNA from 1 species
GAUGAACGCUAGCGGCAGGCUUAAUACAUGCAAGUUGAGGGGCAGCAUGAUAUACGCGAGUAUAUUGAUGGCGACCGGCGGACGGGUGAGUAAUAGGUAGGAGACCUACCUCAUACAGGGGGAUAGCAUAGAGAAAUCUGUGGUAAUACCCCAUGAGGUUAUAUGAAUAGAGGCAUAUAAUCAAAGCAUAAGCGAUUAUGCGGUAUGAGAGGGGCCUACUGACCAUUAGCUAGUUGGUGAGGUAAGGGCUCACCAAGGCGAAGAUGGUUAGGGGUUUUGAGAGAGAGACCCCCCACAUUGGAACUGAGAGACGGUCCAGACUCCUACGGGAGGCAGCAGUAGGGAAUAUUGGGCAAUGGGCGGAAAGCCUGACCCACGCCAUGCCGCGUGAAGGAAGACGGCCUCGGUUGUAACUAGCUUUAGUAGGAAGAAGAACUGACUGUACUACUCGAAUAAGACCCGGCCGUAACCUACGUCGCACGCACGCCGCGGUAAA